rnacentral:rRNA from 1 species
UACGAAGGGUGCAAACGUUGCUCGGAAUUAUUGGGCGUAAAGCGCACGUAGGCGGCAUUGCAAGUCGGAUGUGAAAUCCCUCGGCUCAACCAAGGAAGUGCAUCCGAAACUGCUGUGCUUGAGUACUUAAGAGGAUCGCGGAAUUCCCGGUGUAGAGGUGAAAUUCGUAGAUAUCGGGAGGAACACCAGUGGCGAAGGCGGUGAUCUGGGAAGAUACUGACGCUGAGGUGCGAAAGCGUGGGGAGCAAACAGG